rnacentral:rRNA from 1 species
GACGAACGCUGGCGGCGUGCUUAACACAUGCAAGUCGAACGGAAAGGCCCUGCUUUUGUGGGGUGCUCGAGUGGCGAACGGGGGAGUAACACGUGAGUAACCUGCCCUUGACUUUGGGAUAACUUCAGGAAACUGGGGCUAAUACCGGAUAGGAGCUCCUGCUGCAUGGUGGGGGUUGGAAAGUUUCGGCGGUUGGGGAUGGACUCGCGGCUUAUCAGCUUGUUGGUGGGGGAGUGGCUUACCAAGGCUUUGACGGGUAGCCGGCCUGAGAGGGUGACCGGCCACAUUGGAACUGAGAUACGGACCAGACUCCUACGGGAGGCAACAGUGGGGAAUAUUGCACAAUGGGCGGAAGCCUGAUGCAGCAACGCCGCGUGCGGGAUGACGGCCUUCGGGUUGUAAACCGCUUUCGCCUGUGACGAAGCGUGAGUGACGGUAAUGGGUAAAGAAGCACCGGCUAACUACGUG